GGUCAAGCUACUAAGGGCGCACGGGGGAUGUCUUGGCGUCAGAAGGCGAUGAAGGGCGUGGAAGGCUGCGAAAAGCCUGGGGGAGCCGUCAAACAGGCAUUGAUCCCGGGAUCCCUGAAUCAACGUAGACUGAAUACAUAGGUCUACGUGGCGAACGUGGGGAACUGAAACAUCUAAGUACCCAUAGGAAAAGAAAGAAAACUCGACUCCCUGAGUAGCGGCGAGCGAAACGGGAUCUAGCCCAAACCAGGUGCUACGGUAUCUGGGGUUGUGGGGCCAGUGUUAGGGUUACAAAACAGGUGAUUAAGAGAACCGGAUCGGAAAGCCGGACCAAAGUGGGUGAUAGUCCCGUAUCUGAAAAUCAACCUGUCCCGUUAUGCACUGGUACCCGAGUAAGUCUCGGCACGUGAAACCGAGACCGAAUCUGCGGGGCCCAUCCCGUAAGGCUAAGCACUCUCUGACGACCGAUAGUGAAUUUAGUAGCGCGAGCGAACGAUGAAAAGAACCCCGAAAGGGGAGGGAAAGACCCUGAAACCGUGUGCCUACAAGCUGUCGGAGCUCGCAAGAGUGACGGCGUGCCUAUUGAAUAAUGAUCCGGCGAGUUAUUGUCACUGGCUGGCUAAAGUCUUCAGGACUGGAGCCUAAGGGAAACCGAGUCUGAAUAGGGCGUAAAUGGUCAGUGGGAAUAGACGCGAAUCUUAGCGAACUACGCAUGGGCAGGUUGAAGCGCGGGUAAGACUGCGUGGAGGACCGAACUCACUGAUGUUGAAAAAUCAGGGGAUGACCUGUGUGGAGGAUUAAAAGUAUCAUCAAGCUGAGGGAUAGCUCGUUCUCUCCGAAAUAACUUUAGGGUUAGCCUCGUGCAACUAUGCCGUGGGGGUAGAGAGACUGAACUGGGUCGAGGGCUCACAAGGCUACUCGCCCUGACCAAACUCCGAAUACUACGGUAACUAUCACGGGAGGUAGUCUCUGAGGGAGAAGCUUCAGAGUCGAGAGGGAAACAACCCAGAUCGUCUGCUAAGGCCCCAAAGUUUGACUCAGUCACAAAGGAUGUCCGAUUGCGGUGACAGCCGGGAUGUUGGCUUAGAAGCAGCCACCAUUUAAAAAGUGCGUAAUAGCUUACCGGUCGAGCAGUCGUGCACCGAUAAUGAACGGGAGUAAGUCAGACGCCGAAGCAGCGGGAUCCGCAAGGAUCGGUAGGAGAGCGUUCCGUGCCAGCAAGUGAAACCGUAAGGUUUCGUAUAGGGGCCCGGAAGUGUUUAUGCCGGAAUGAGUAACGAUAAGACAAGUGAGAAGCUUGUCCGCCGCAAGCCUAAGGUUUCCUGGGGAAGGUAAUUCCGCCCAGGGUCAGCCGGUACCUUAGCCGAGGCCGAAGGGCGUAGGCGAUGGAUAACAGGUUAAUAUUCCUGUGCUGACUUGUGGACCGAUGGGGGGACGUUGUGUGAAUGGUGAGCGGGCGGUUAGAAGUGCCCGUCGGGGUAUUCAAGGCUGCGGAGUGGUAAAUCCGCCGCGUCUGCCGAGAAUAUUUCGUGAGUCCCUGGUUGAUGAAAUCAUCUGAAGCAUAACCAAGAAAAGCCUCUAGGGUUGAAGCAAGCAACCGUACUAAAACCGACACAGGUAGGCGAGGCGAGUAGCCUAAGGCGCGCGGGAGAACGGUGGUUAAGGAACUCUGCAAAUUUUCCCCGUAACUUCGGGAUAAGGGGCGCCUUGCGAUGUGUUAAAGCAUUGCGAGGCCGCAGGAAUUGGCUCUAGCGACUGUUUAUCAAAAACACAGGACACUGCGAACUCGCAAGAGGAUGUAUAGUGUCUGACGCCUGCUCGGUGCCGGUAAGUUAAGGAAGAGGGUGAGGCGCAAGCUGAAGCCCGCAACCGAAGCUCCGGUAAACGGCGGCCCUAACUAUGAGGGUCCUAAGGUAGCGAAGUUCCUUGUCGGGUAAGUUCCGACCUGCAUGAAUGGCGUAACGACUGGAGCACUGUCUCAACCACCGACCCGGUGAAGUUGUAGCCGUGGUGAAGAUGCCACGUUCCCGCACCGUGACGGAAAGACCCCAUGAACCUUUACUGCAGGCUGGUAUUGGUAUUAGACAUGUCUUGUGUAGGAUAGGUGGGAGGCUUCGAAGAGGGGGCGCUAGCUCUCUCAGAGCCGUCGUUGAAAUACCACCCUGGGCCUGUUUGAUAUCUAACCCUGUCCCGUGAAUCCGGGCAGUGGACAGUGCCAGUUGGGCAGUUUGACUGGGGCGGUCUCCUCCAAAAAGGUAACGGAGGAGCCCAAAGGUACCCUCAGCCUGGUUGGCAAUCAGGCGAAGAGCGUAAAGGUAGAAGGGUGCUUGACUGCGAGACCUACAAGUCGAGCAGAGACGAAAGUCGGGCUUAGUGAUCCGGCGGUUCCGAAUGGAAGGGCCGUCGCUCAACGGAUAAAAGGUACUCUGGGGAUAACAGGCUGAUCCCACCCGAGCGUCCAUAGCGGCGGUGGGGUUUGGCACCUCGAUGUCGGCUCAUCACAUCCUGGGGGUGGAGAAGCUCCCAAGGGUUCGGCUGUUCGCCGAUUAAAGUGGUACGUGAGCUGGGUUCAGACCGUCGUGAGACAGGUCGGUCCCUAUCUGGUGUGGGCGUACGAGACUUGAGGGAGUUUUUCUUUAGUACGAGAGGAUUUGGAAGGACGGACCUAUGGUGUCCCUGUUGUCCCGCUCGGGGCAGUGCAGGGUAGCCACGUCCGGUUUGGAUAAGUGCUGAAAGCAUCUAAGCACGAAGCCAGUCCCAAGAUAAGGUCUCGAUGAGUCCCCUGGAAGACGACCAGGUUGAUAGGCCAGACGUGUAAGGUGGGUAACCAUCUCAGCUGACUGGUACUAACGGACGAUUGCUUGAUCAU
rfam:Planctomyces sp. SH-PL14, complete genome.